rnacentral:lncRNA from 1 species
UCAUCGUACCUGUUGCUGUUCGUUGCUGAGUUUGUUGCCUUGGGAAUCCAUGGGCGGCCAGUUGACGUUCGCAACGGCCGAUUUCUCAUCGCGAGUGCCGUGCGCUUUCUUGGAAAGCCUGGUAAUUUUCUGAAAAUAUGAGUGUAAGCGGCAAUUUUUCGGCCGAAUUUAACCGCUUUUCAAUAAAUUAGUUCGGAAGCCUUCGUUUUUGCAGAUUUUUGUUCGCUUUGGACGUGAAUAUCGCGAGUGAUCGUCGGGAAAAGUAUGGUGUUUUUGUGUGAAAUAAGGUUAUCCACCCACUUUGUUGUGUUGGUUUGUCCCGUUUCUGAAGUGAAAUAAGUCAAUAAUGCUAAUUUGAGAGUGUUCUUAAUCUAUUGGUGUGAAUCCUUGAAUUGUUAUCUUAUUGUGAAAUAUUCUAGUUCAUUCAUGGGAAGAUGACUCCCAGCGGAUACUCAUAUCACCCAGGAUGGUCGCUUUUACCACUUGGGGUCUUGUUCCUGACGUCCUGUGCGCCGACGUUUUCGAUACAACUUCCGGGCUCUUCGCUGGAUUCCACCCCAGGGCCCCCGUCCCUCUCUUCGAGCGCGCCGUCGCUGUCCCUGCCCCACCGGGAGGGAUUCUUCAACGUCACCUCUUACGCAAGACUGACUCCCAUAGCCUUAAAUCAACACAUAGCUUUAAGUUUUAAGUCCUGUGUCGGCGGCCAGCUUUUCACGCAAAGGUCAGUCUUCUCUCCCCGAUGACACCUCAAGUUUCAAUCGAGUGAAGUUUUCUCGUACGAGCUUGAAUGGAGAAAGGAUUUGCGAUUUGACCAUUGAUUCUUAUGUAAAAGUUCGCGAGAAACAUGAUGGUGCCACUGGUUUUCUCUGAAAUCAACUCCUAAGCUCAGAAAAAGCUCUCAAGUUGAGGCCAAAAUGGAGGGGAUAUCCCGCCUUACCCUGAGAGUCCACCUCUACAUCAAAACAAACUCUCCAUGCAAAGGUAGGGAGCAAAUGCAUUGACAGGGCUGCCACUUUAUUUGGGG